CCUACGGGAGGCAGCAGUGGGGAAUAUUGCUCAAUGGGGGAAACCCUGAAGCAGCAACGCCGCGUGGAGGAUGAAGGUUUUCGGAAUGUAAACUCCUUUUGUUAGAGAAGAAAAUGCCGGUAUGUAACGAAUAAGCAGCGGCUAACUACGUGAAAGAAGCCGCGGUAAUACGGAGGGUGCCGGCGUUACUCGGAAUUACUGAGCGUAAAGUGCGCGUAGACGGGAUAGCAAGUCUGAUGUGAAAGCCUAGGGCUUAACCAGAGAACUGCAUUUGAAACUGUUAUUCUAGAGUACGGGAGAGGUAAGUGGAAUUCUUGGUGUAGGGGUAAAAUGCGUAGAUAUCAGGAGGAAUACUCGUGGCGAAGGCGGCCUACUAGAACAUAACUGACGUUGAUGCGCGAAAGCGUGGGGAGCAAACAGGAUUAGAUACCCUUGUAGUC
rnacentral:rRNA from 1 species